rnacentral:rRNA from 1 species
AUGUCUGCAAAUGCUCUGCUUGGUAGCCUUCAUGAAAUUGGAGAUCUUGCACAGGGCAGUGUUCAUAUGAACAAGGUGUGGAAGAACACUUGGGGCCUUCGGCGUGGAAAGUGGGGUUUUAAGCUGGGCGCCAUAUCCCAGAUUCACCACAAAAUGCCCGAUCUGCUCGGUUCUAUCACAAUGGAGAUUCUUUCAAAGAUGAGUGCAACUAGGAGCAGGCUGUGGUUAUCUGGUGGCGGCAAAGGCGACAAUUUGUUAGUGGGGUGCAUUCCAAACACCAGAAAAAACCGCUCUAUCAAUUAA